GUUAACGAUAUUUAUGUUAUAUAGCACGUGCAAUAGGAGUGACUCACACAAGCCAGGCGCGCCGGCCGUGUCGUUCCACUCGUAAACAACAGCUACAUCAGAAGUGAGAUCAGGACUCUACUCUCACUGGCGUGACGUGUUUGAACAUGUUCGAAGUACAGCAAAAAAAACAUGAUGCAGAUCAGAAUACUAGUAGUGGUACGCCACAAGAGCGUGAAUGCAGCAUACGUAAGUCGUGUAAUAACGUCUCUGUUACCUCGAUGGAAGAUCUGAGCCACGAAGAAAUCGUCACAUCUUACGUUCUGGCUCCUGUUGCCCAGUUGACUCUCGACUUAUCACAUGGCAUUUACUAGCGGAAAUACAACACGUAACAAGCUAUUGCAAGAAAUUAAGGCAAGUGCAAAUCUCAAGUGAAACUUCGAUCGCAAUAAUGGAUCUGUCAUGACGAGUGGGUAGUUCCGACACGAAUCGUUUUUAAGCCAAUGACUACUGCUAGAGUUACAUGGCACUAGUACAGUAAACCAGGACAUGAGACUGUGAAUUGUCGCUGAAAUUUUAGAAUCUACUCGAUUCAAUACCAAUAACACUACACGUUCGAUGACUUCGGGCUCCAGCAAGCAAGCAAACAAGGAAGCAAGCAAGUUUCCGUGGGGAGGAAAAAUUGACACAUCUGAAGUCGUCGUGACCUGUAAGAUAAGACGUCCGGUGCGUUCGUGUCUGGUGAUGCGGCGGUGUUCGGGUUCCGCUGGCGGAUGCAGGUUUUUCCGGUGAAGUGCGUGCUUGUGCGUGCUUGACAAGUGUUCGCGGUUGGCUUCCUCAGUGUGGGAGUAACAUCGUGUAAGAGAGGUGGAACCCGUAAAAUUGUAGUUUGCGUGGUGGCUGGUAAGAUUUGUUGCGGUAAGAAGUUUGCAUGGUGGUAAAAUGUCUUGUGAGUCUGCACAGGUAGCCGGAGGUGAGACUUCCGCGGUCGCGGCCCACCCAGUCCGCGAGAACCGGGCAGAUCGCCUCGACGGUACGGAGGCCGGCUGACGGGUCCGCCAAACGACGAGACCACGCCUCCAGCACGGACUGCCGAUAUUGGAGCCCCCGCGCUCCGGCUGCACUUGCGCUAGGGCGCGCCGCCUCGUAGGAGACUGUGAGCCUGCAAAACCUGAACAACCUCCUCAUCCGUGGGCGCCCGGCUCUCGCCUGCAAGUCGGCUGUUACGUGUGCGGUGAUGCGAGCCAUGUAGCUUCUGGGUUUUCCAUGCGCUACAAAAAGAAAAACGACACUGCUCCAGGUGCUGUGGCAGGCCCAACCAGAGACGUCAACGUGUGUUCCAGAGCUUCAGUGUGUUACAGAUAAGUGGUUUUGGCUUCCCCUUUAUGUUCCAUUCAGGGUCAGAAUGUAGUCUUAUAAAACAAAGUCAUAGUAAUUUAUUCAAUGGUAAGCGGUUUCAUGAACAAGUCACUCUUUGAUCUGAAAGUAACUUAGACCAAUCAUGAUGGCAAGAGCACUUAGGGGAUAUUCAACUCGCCCUUAAUAGUGCACGUUGUCGAGUAACAGGGUUUACUCCAAUAGAAUAGACGUUUGCCGUUCAGGGUAGUUCACUUGAAAUAUCUAAAGUUUCAACAGAGUGAUAAUCCCUCUAGAUUAGAUCUUGAUUUAGCACGGUCGAAGACCGGCGAAAACAUAAAAAAAGGGCACAAACAGAAGCUUGGUUUAGUCGAGGCAAAGCUAAAGUCAAACUCUUUCCCGCUGGGGAUUUUGUUUUCGUAAGUUGACCGAAAAUGUAAAGGUCCCUUCAACAUUACUGCAGUUUUGGAAAACGAUAGGUAUAAAUUGAGACAUGUAAAUAGUUCUAAUAGAGUGUACAAAUUUCCCCAUGAAAACUUACGUGAAAUACCUCGAGGCCCGUCAGGCCUACUAGAAAUUUCUGAAAAUUAUAGUGACGAUGACGUGACGGCGUACACAGAUGGGUUAAUUAAUCUUGUUCAUGAAACUGAUCUUAAUGAUGACGACUCUAUCACUGACAAUAGAAGCGACAUUUUUGUCCGCAAAUAGCGAUACAGCAAACAUAGUCUGUGGGUAGUGAUACAAUGUCUGUAAGCUCAGGCACCUCAGGUGCAGGUGUUGGAAAUGUAGAAAACGAUGGUCGGUCUCGCACUAUUUCUGAAGAAAUUCCGUAUAAAUGUUCUGGUUUAAGAAAUGUUUUAACAAACGCUACCGUACACGCAGAUUAAAAAAAAAAAAGAAAAGAAAAAAAAGAGAAUUGUAUGUGGCUAGAGAGAUGUUAAUCCGGACUAGCAAAAAAAAAAAGAGAAAAAAGAAAAUGUGAAGUCAUUGAAGGGUCUGUCCGGUCCAAUGGCUUGGCUAUAGGGAUUUUCAUCCAGAUUAGCCACAACAAUUAGCUACAGGGAUUGCGAUUCGGUCUAGCAUUAUCCGGUCCAGUUCGAAAAACUGAAGGGAUAACAAUUCCGGUCUAAGUUAAAAGGGACAUACUUACAUACCUGAAGAGUUUUAAAUGAACUGGCCCAGGUAUGUAAGCAGUCUGAAGGUUAUUUAUAGCCAGUAUAGGAUUUUCUGAAGAAUUAUGCGAACCGAACCGUACUAGAUUGUUAAUAUCAUAGACCACGUUUUAAGUUGCAUCCGUUAAUGUCAGGAUGAACGAACACGUUUGUUGUUCACAGACAUACCAUAAGAAUGCGCGCACGAGGACGAGCGCACGUCAGUAUGGCCGUGACGGCGUUAACGAUAUUUAUGUUAUAUAGCACGUGCAAUAGGAGUGACUCACACAAGCCAGGCGCGCCGGCCGUGUCGUUCCACUCGUAAACAACAGCUGCAACAGAAGUGACUCAUAAGCCAGCUGCGCCGGCUAGUAUAAAAAGGCGGAACGUGCCUUGAAAUGAACAUUCGUUGGACUGCGCUUGCCUGGUGCACUUACUAUAUCCUCGUUACGUUGUGUGAUUCAGUGACUGUUGUACGUACUGGUUAAAGUUGGACAAGUGUUAAAGUGAAUUGUUAAGAUAACAUAUUGUUGAUUAAAUCAGGAAUCAAAUAG